UUAAGUGACUAAGCGUACACGGUGGAUGCCCUGGCAGUCAGAGGCGAUGAAGGACGUGCUAAUCUGCGAUAAGCGUCGGUAAGGUGAUAUGAACCGUUAUAACCGGCGAUUUCCGAAUGGGGAAACCCAGUGUGAUUCGUCACACUAUCAUUAACUGAAUCCAUAGGUUAAUGAGGCGAACCGGGGGAACUGAAACAUCUAAGUACCCCGAGGAAAAGAAAUCAACCGAGAUUCCCCCAGUAGCGGCGAGCGAACGGGGAGCAGCCCAGAGCCUGAAUCAGUGUGUGUGUUAGUGGAAGCGUCUGGAAAGGCGCGCGAUACAGGGUGACAGCCCCGUACACAAAAAUACACAUACUGUGAGCUCGAUGAGUAGGGCGGGACACGUGGUAUCCUGUCUGAAUAUGGGGGGACCAUCCUCCAAGGCUAAAUACUCCUGACUGACCGAUAGUGAACCAGUACCGUGAGGGAAAGGCGAAAAGAACCCCGGCGAGGGGAGUGAAAAAGAACCUGAAACCGUGUACGUACAAGCAGUGGGAGCACGCUUAGGCGUGUGACUGCGUACCUUUUGUAUAAUGGGUCAGCGACUUAUAUUCUGUAGCAAGGUUAACCGAAUAGGGGAGCCGAAGGGAAACCGAGUCUUAACUGGGCGUUAAGUUGCAGGGUAUAGACCCGAAACCCGGUGAUCUAGCCAUGGGCAGGUUGAAGGUUGGGUAACACUAACUGGAGGACCGAACCGACUAAUGUUGAAAAAUUAGCGGAUGACUUGUGGCUGGGGGUGAAAGGCCAAUCAAACCGGGAGAUAGCUGGUUCUCCCCGAAAGCUAUUUAGGUAGCGCCUCGUGAAUUCAUCUCCGGGGGUAGAGCACUGUUUCGGCAAGGGGGUCAUCCCGACUUACCAACCCGAUGCAAACUGCGAAUACCGGAGAAUGUUAUCACGGGAGACACACGGCGGGUGCUAACGUCCGUCGUGAAGAGGGAAACAACCCAGACCGCCAGCUAAGGUCCCAAAGUCAUGGUUAAGUGGGAAACGAUGUGGGAAGGCCCAGACAGCCAGGAUGUUGGCUUAGAAGCAGCCAUCAUUUAAAGAAAGCGUAAUAGCUCACUGGUCGAGUCGGCCUGCGCGGAAGAUGUAACGGGGCUAAACCAUGCACCGAAGCUGCGGCAGCGACGCUUAUGCGUUGUUGGGUAGGGGAGCGUUCUGUAAGCCUGCGAAGGUGUGCUGUGAGGCAUGCUGGAGGUAUCAGAAGUGCGAAUGCUGACAUAAGUAACGAUAAAGCGGGUGAAAAGCCCGCUCGCCGGAAGACCAAGGGUUCCUGUCCAACGUUAAUCGGGGCAGGGUGAGUCGACCCCUAAGGCGAGGCCGAAAGGCGUAGUCGAUGGGAAACAGGUUAAUAUUCCUGUACUUGGUGUUACUGCGAAGGGGGGACGGAGAAGGCUAUGUUGGCCGGGCGACGGUUGUCCCGGUUUAAGCGUGUAGGCUGGUUUUCCAGGCAAAUCCGGAAAAUCAAGGCUGAGGCGUGAUGACGAGGCACUACGGUGCUGAAGCAACAAAUGCCAUGCUUCCAGGAAAAGCCUCUAAGCAUCAGGUAACAUCAAAUCGUACCCCAAACCGACACAGGUGGUCAGGUAGAGAAUACCAAGGCGCUUGAGAGAACUCGGGUGAAGGAACUAGGCAAAAUGGUGCCGUAACUUCGGGAGAAGGCACGCUGAUAUGUAGGUGAAGCGACUUGCUCGUGGAGCUGAAAUCAGUCGAAGAUACCAGCUGGCUGCAACUGUUUAUUAAAAACACAGCACUGUGCAAACACGAAAGUGGACGUAUACGGUGUGACGCCUGCCCGGUGCCGGAAGGUUAAUUGAUGGGGUCAGCGCAAGCGAAGCUCUUGAUCGAAGCCCCGGUAAACGGCGGCCGUAACUAUAACGGUCCUAAGGUAGCGAAAUUCCUUGUCGGGUAAGUUCCGACCUGCACGAAUGGCGUAAUGAUGGCCAGGCUGUCUCCACCCGAGACUCAGUGAAAUUGAACUCGCUGUGAAGAUGCAGUGUACCCGCGGCAAGACGGAAAGACCCCGUGAACCUUUACUAUAGCUUGACACUGAACAUUGAGCCUUGAUGUGUAGGAUAGGUGGGAGGCUUUGAAGUGUGGACGCCAGUCUGCAUGGAGCCGACCUUGAAAUACCACCCUUUAAUGUUUGAUGUUCUAACGUUGACCCGUAAUCCGGGUUGCGGACAGUGUCUGGUGGGUAGUUUGACUGGGGCGGUCUCCUCCUAAAGAGUAACGGAGGAGCACGAAGGUUGGCUAAUCCUGGUCGGACAUCAGGAGGUUAGUGCAAUGGCAUAAGCCAGCUUGACUGCGAGCGUGACGGCGCGAGCAGGUGCGAAAGCAGGUCAUAGUGAUCCGGUGGUUCUGAAUGGAAGGGCCAUCGCUCAACGGAUAAAAGGUACUCCGGGGAUAACAGGCUGAUACCGCCCAAGAGUUCAUAUCGACGGCGGUGUUUGGCACCUCGAUGUCGGCUCAUCACAUCCUGGGGCUGAAGUAGGUCCCAAGGGUAUGGCUGUUCGCCAUUUAAAGUGGUACGCGAGCUGGGUUUAGAACGUCGUGAGACAGUUCGGUCCCUAUCUGCCGUGGGCGCUGGAGAACUGAGGGGGGCUGCUCCUAGUACGAGAGGACCGGAGUGGACGCAUCACUGGUGUUCGGGUUGUCAUGCCAAUGGCACUGCCCGGUAGCUAAAUGCGGAAGAGAUAAGUGCUGAAAGCAUCUAAGCACGAAACUUGCCCCGAGAUGAGUUCUCCCUGACUCCUUGAGAGUCCUGAAGGAACGUUGAAGACGACGACGUUGAUAGGCCGGGUGUGUAAGCGCAGNGAUGCGUUGAGCUAACCGGUACUAAUGAACCGUGAGGCUUAACCUU
rnacentral:rRNA from 1 species